rnacentral:lncRNA from 1 species
CAGAGAGACACACCCAGCGGCAGCCGUUGACUCCCUCCACCCUUGCUUCCCUCUCAACCAUCUCACCUCCAUCUGUCCAGUGGAGCCAGAUGUCCCACCUUCUUGGGAGAAAUUAAUUGAGGCUCAUUUCCAGGACAGAGGGGCAAGCUGGGUCUGAGGAGCCAAGCAGAAAAACUUCCCAAAAUCACUGGGUGGGGAGGGGUCAGAGACUUACUGCUGCCCCAGCUGUUCUGACUCUGCCCCCAGCUUUUGGCCCCACCCUUUUAAAGCACCUUCAGAGGUUCCCAAUGGUGACAGUAAACAAGUCUCCACUGUCCUGGCCAUCUCUGCUGUGUUCACCCUACUCCUGAUCUUUCUGGCUGCUCAGGGACUGACAGCCAAGAUGUGAGGCUGUGAUGAGCAGGAACAGGGAGGCCUGGAGCCCCCAGACAGAUUUGCAAUGAUCAAGAGGCGUCCUGUGAAUGCAGUUUGCAAAGGACUUAGGCACACAGCAUCUCCUUUGUUCUCACCACAAGGCUGCCGGGUGUGCAGAUGUGAGGAUUAUUUCAAUGGUGAAGAAGCAUCCUGAGAGGUUACGUAGUUCAACUAAUGUCACACCAAGAGCAGGAGAGCAUCUGGGCAUUUGGACAUGGAAGGUGUGGGGCACAAGCAUCUCAUGGCCAGGGAACGGGGGAGGAGCAUCUCAGAGCUGCAUCAGAGUUCAUGCUGGUCCUAGGACAAGAGUCAAGCACACCCUGCUUUCACCAGCUGCUGGUAGCUUUCACUCAGGUUCCCACUUUGGCCACUUAAUUCUCUGAACCUCUACUACAUGAAGAGACUAGAACUUGAUUAGAAAAAAAUGGAAUGACUCUUAAUGAGCAAGUGGAUGAAUAAAUUGUGGUAAAUCCCUACAAGUGACUAUUAGAAA